rnacentral:rRNA from 1 species
GCACAAGCGGUGGAGCAUGUGGUUUAAUUCGAAGCAACGCGAAGAACCUUACCAAAUCUUGACAUCCUUUGACAACUCUAGAGAUAGAGCCUUCCCCUUCGGGGGACAAAGUGACAGGUGGUGCAUGGUUGUCGUCAGCUCGUGUCGUGAGAUGUUGGGUUAAGUCCCGCAGCGAGCGCAACCCUUAAGCUUAGUUGCCAGCAUUAAGUUGGGUACUCUAAGUUGACUGCCGGUGACAAACCGGAGGAAGGUGGGGAUGACGUCAAAUCAUCAUGCCCCUUAUGAUUUGGGCUACACACGUGCUACAAUGGACAAUACAAAGGGCAGCUAAACCGCGAGGUCAUGCAAAUCCCAUAAAGUUGUUCUCAGUUCGGAUUGUAGUCUGCAACUCGACUACAUGAAGCUGGAAUCGCUAGUAAUCGUAGAUCAGCAUGCUACGGUGAAUACGUUCCCGGGUCUUGUACACACCGCCCGUCACACCACGAGAGUUUGUAACACCCGAAGCCGGUGGAGUAACCAUUUAUGGAGCUAGCCGUCGAAGGUGGGACAAAUGAUUGGGGUGAAGUCGUAACAAGGUAGCCGUAUCGGAAGG